AGGACGAACGCUGGCGGCGUGCUUAACACAUGCAAGUCGAACGGAAAGGCCCUUCGGGGUACUCGAGUGGCGAACGGGUGAGUAACACGUGGGUGAUCUGCCCUGCACUUCGGGAUAAGCCUGGGAAACUGGGUCUAAUACCGGAUAUGACCUUGGGAUGCAUGUCCUUUGGUGGAAAGCUUUUGCGGUGUGGGAUGGGCCCGCGGCCUAUCAGCUUGUUGGUGGGGUUAAGGCCUACCAAGGCGACGACGGGUAGCCGGCCUGAGAGGGUGACCGGCCACACUGGGACUGAGAUACGGCCCAGACUCCUACGGGAGGCAGCAGUGGGGAAUAUUGCACAAUGGGCGCAAGCCUGAUGCAGCCGACGCCGCGUGAGGGACGACGGCCUUCGGGUUGUAAACCUCUUUCAGCACAGACGAAGCGCAAGUGACGGUAUGUGCAGAAGAAGGACCGGCCAACUACGUGCCAGCCGCGGC
rnacentral:rRNA from 1 species